rnacentral:rRNA from 1 species
AAGACCUUGCGCUUUUGGAGCGGCCGAUGCCUGAUUAGCUUGUUGGUAAGGUAAAAGCUUACCAAGGCUUCGAUCAGUAGCUGGUCUGAGAGGACGACCAGCCACACUGGGACUGAGACACGGCCCAGACUCCUACGGGAGGCAGCAGUGGGGAAUUUUGGACAAUGGGGGCAACCCUGAUCCAGCCAUGCCGCGUGAGUGAAGAAGGCCUUCGGGUUGUAAAGCUCUUUCAGCCGGGAAGAAAAGGUUGCGACUAAUAAUCGCAAUCCAUGACGGUACCGAAAGAAGAAGCACCGGCUAACUACGUGCCAGCAGCCGCGGUAAUACGUAGGGUGCGAGCGUUAAUCGGAAUUACUGGGCGUAAAGCGUGCGCAGGUGGUUUUGUAAGUCAGAUGUGAAAGCCCCGGGCUCAACCUGGGAAC